CCUACGGGUGGCUGCAGUGGGGAAUAUUGGACAAUGGGGGCAACCCUGAUCCAGCCAUGCCGCGUGUGUGAAGAAGGCCCUCGGGUUGUAAAGCACUUUCAGUGAGGAAGAACUCCUGGUGGUUAAUACCCAUCAGGAAAGACAUCACUCACAGAAGAAGCACCGGCUAACUCCGUGCCAGCAGCCGCGGUAAUACGGAGGGUGCGAGCGUUAAUCGGAAUUACUGGGCGUAAAGCGCGCGUAGGUGGCUUGAUAAGCCGGUUGUGAAAGCCCCGGGCUCAACCUGGGAACGGCAUCCGGAACUGUCAAGCUAGAGUGCAGGAGAGGAAGGUAGAAUUCCCGGUGUAGCGGUGAAAUGCGUAGAGAUCGGGAGGAAUACCAGUGGCGAAGGCGGCCUUCUGGACUGACACUGACACUGAGGUGCGAAAGCGUGGGUAGCAAACAGGAUUAGAUACCCCAGUAGUC
rnacentral:rRNA from 1 species